UACAGAGGCCCCAAGCGUUACUGAGAAUCACUGGGUUUAAAGGGUGCGUAGGUGGCGCGUUUAAGUCCGUUGUGAAAUCCCUUGGCUCAACCAAGGAAAUGCUUCGGAUACUGGCGUGCUUGAGGCUAGUAAGGGUCACUGGAACUGACGGUGGAGCGGUGAAAUGCGUAGAUAUCGUCAGGAACGCCAAUGGUGAAGACAGGUGACUGGGCUAGUUCUGACACUGAGGCACGAAAGCGUGGGGAGCGAACGGG
rnacentral:rRNA from 1 species